ACUCCUACGGGAGGCAGCAGUGGGAAUAUUGCACAAUGGGCGCAAGCCUGAUGCAGCCAUGCCGCUGUGUGAAGAAGGCCUUCGGGUUGUGAAAGUCACUUUCAGUCAGUUGAGGAAAGGCGUGGUAGUGUUAAUAGCACUAUUAUUUGACGUUAGCGACAGAAGAAGCACCGGCUAACUCCGUGCCAGCAGCCGCGGUAAUACGGAGGGUGCGAGCGUUAAUCGGAAUUACUGGGCGUAAAGCGCAUGCAGGUGGUUUGUUAAGUCAGAUGUGAAAGGCCCGGGGCUCAACCUCGGAAU
rnacentral:rRNA from 1 species